rnacentral:rRNA from 1 species
UGCAGUCGAACGGAAACAUGUCUAGCUUGCUAGAUGAUGUCGAGUGGCGGACGGGUGAGUAAUGCUUGGGAACUUGCCUUUGCGAGGGGGAUAACAGUUGGAAACGACUGCUAAUACCGCAUAAUGUCUUCGGACCAAACGGGGCUUCGGCUCCGGCGCAAAGAGAGGCCCAAGUGAGAUUAGCUAGUUGGUGAGGUAAAAGCUCACCAAGGCAACGAUCUCUAGCUGUUCUGAGAGGAAGAUCAGCCACACUGGGACUGAGACACGGCCCAGACUCCUACGGGAGGCAGCAGUGGGGAAUAUUGCACAAUGGGGGCAACCCUGAUGCAGCCAUGCCGCGUGUGUGAAGAAGGCCUUCGGGUUGUAAAGCACUUUCAGUUGUGAGGAAAGGUUGGUGGUUAAUACCCAUCAGCUGUGACGUUAGCAACAGAAGAAGCACCGGCUAACUCCGUGCCAGCAGCCGCGGUAAUACGGAGGGUGCGAGCGUUAAUCGGAAUUACUGGGCGUAAAGCGCACGCAGGCGGUUAUAUAAGCUAGAUGUGAAAGCCCCGGGCUCAACCUGGGAAUAGCAUUUAGAACUGUAUGACUAGAGUCUUGGAGAGGGGGGUGGAAUUCCAGGUGUAGCGG